GAUGAAGAACGCAGCGAAAUGCGAUAAGUAGUGUGAAUUGCAGAAUUCAGUGAAUCAUCGAAUCUUUGAACGCACAUUGCGCCACUUGGUAGUCCAUGGGGCAUGCCUGUUCGAGCGUCAUUUGUACCUUCAAGCUCUGCUUGGUGUUGGGUGUUUGUCUCGCCUCUGCGUGUAGACUCGCCUCAAAACAAUUGGCAGCCGGCGUAUUGAUUUCGGAGCGCAGUACAUCUCGCGCUUUGCACUCAUAACGACGACGUCCAAAAGUACAUUUUUACACUCUUGACCUCGGAUCAGGUAGGGAUACCCGCUGAACUUAAGCAUAUCAAUAAGCGGAGGA
rnacentral:misc_RNA from 1 species